UGUUCAUUCUGAGGCCUCCUUAAGUCAUCUGCUUCAUGCUCCUUCUCCAGCAACGUUCACCCUGGUGGCAAAUGUUUGUAAAACUAAGCAAGUGAUAUACAUUACCCUACUGCCAGGAAAUGGAAAAGGGAAGAUGUGUCUACUUUACACUAACAUGUUAACAAUUGAGGCUAUUUCUUUGUAUAGCUACUAAUCGACUCUUAAAACUCUCUGCCAAAGAAGGCACAAGAAAGGAGAGCAGGGCCAAGACUAAAUAAGCGAAGUCUUUGGCCAUACAGUUACCACAUCAUUUUAAAUCUGGUGCAAAUUCAUCUGAAUGAACAGCAUUUCUCCUGGCACUGAAACUUGGGAGAAAAUGUGUUGUGUUGUGGCUUAUCCUUAUUAAAGAUCACUGAGCAAUAUGAUAACCAA